GGGAGAGCAGGCUAAGCCACCCCCGGCAGACACGACAGAAGCUUUUCUCGUGGAUCAUGAGAAGAACUUCUUAUGAGUGACUUCACACAUCACAAUGACAGCUAAGCUUCCGUACAAAGGAUGGUAUGAUGGUGAAAGCGCUAAGAACCCUGAGAAUGCUGUGGUGGAUGCUAAUGAAGAAUUCAUGCAGGGAGAUGUGGCAGACAUCAUAAGAAUAUGUGUGGAAGCUGGAGGCUAUUGUGCUACCGAACUAUGUCAUCCCGAUGAUAAAUAUAUUCAAAUCUGCUAUCACAGGAGACCUUGCUGCCGAAGGUGAAUUCCAGUUGGACCUUCAGCCAUGAGGAUCCUCUACCUUCUCUUUGCAUUCCUCUGCCUGAUGAUGCCGGUUGCUCCAGCUAAGCUUCCGUACAAAGGAUGGUCUGGUGGUGGAAGUCCUAAGAGCCCUGAGAAUGCUGUGGUGGAUGCUAAUGAAGAAUUCAUCCAGGGUAUGUUCAGAGUUGGGCUGACAACUCAGUCCUCCUUCAUAUGUUAAAUCUCCAGAAAGAACAGCACAUGGCACGAGGUGAGCAGGCUGGCUAGCUAUGCCCUCACAUGGAUGUGCUCCUUUGCCAUGUCUCCACACACAUUCAGUGCUUGUCUAUAGGGAGAGUUUCUCGAUUCUGCAGCUCAUUGUGCAAUCUGUCAGCUACUGAGGAGCUGUUUUUAAAAAAAUAUUUUAAGAACGCAAGACUUUGCCACUCUGUUGAGACCAUGACAGCCAGAAGCUGUGCAGACAUGAGGUAUAACUUGAGGAAGUCUGUUAUUUUUCACUAGAGUAAAACAAUAAAUAAAAAUAAAAAUAAAAUAAAAUAAAACACUCUGUGUGGAAGCCUGCACCUCCUGUGCCUGUAAAAACCCUCUAGUGGCCCUGUCAGGAUGUAUAAAAGAAUGGAUUUCCUGUAAGGCAGUGCUAGAACAGAAGCCAGCCGAUCGCCGCCCUUCUAGGCGGCGCAGCCCCCACCUCAAAGGAGCACAUGACACUGGGAGCCAGCUCCCAUUGGCUUCGAGGUGUCUCUGGGGCGGGGCCUUCCCGCAGCAAGCUGGCAGCAUGCAGGCGCCGGCUCAGUCCUUCUCUCCUUAGCGCAGAGAGAGGACGUCUGCGGGAGCUCCGAGGCCGGCAUAGCACGUGGCCGGGCCAAGUUGGAGCGGCCGCUGGGCCCUCUGGAGUGGCUCUCUCUCAGCGCGGCAGCGGCGAACAGCCCGCUUCCUUCGGCUGCACUGGGUGCUAUAGUAGCGGUCCAGGGCUCCCCUUCGGGCCACCAGGCCGGGGAGCCUCUUUGGCAGGCCGAGGACCCUUUUGUUGGCCCGUGGCGGCAAGCAGCGAGCGGUCUGCAUCCUGCACCCGGGGGCAGUAGCAGCAGCACAAGGCCUCCCCUUCGGAGCCUCUUUGGCGCCACAGCAGCGAGCGGCCCGCUUCUUUCGGCUGCAUUGGGGGCUGUAGUGGCGGCGGCACAGGGCUCCUAGCAUGGCCCGCUUCCUUCAGGCCGCCGAGCCAAGGACCCCCUCUCAGUGCCUCUGAGGCGAGCCUCUUUCAGCGGGGGCAGGGGUGCGGCCAGGGGGCGUUUAAGCCCUGCCGCUUUAGGUGCCCAGUGGCACGCCGCGAGGCCCUCCCUGCAACGGAGGCGGAGGUUCUCCAGCCUCCACAGGCGGGACUGUCGAGCGGCCCGCCGGGGAUACGCCCCCUUCUUUUUUUCUACAAGGGGAAUCAGGCCUCGCCACCCCUCCUUUUCCCUGAGCGGGCCUUUCCAGCUGCUUCACUACUCCUCAGCCAUCCAUCGGGAGCAGCCCUUCAGGAGGACCAUCAUUUGAGCACUGCAGGCCGGUCUCCCGGCCGAGGU